UGGGAACCACCAUCUCUUGAAUCCCUGCUGUUUGACACUGAUAGGUAUUGAAUAUUUGCAUGUACUGUAAGGGGUGUGUGUGUGUGUGUGUGUGUGUGUGUGUGUGUGUGUGUGUGUGUGUGU